GUCAUAGGAAGCGCUGUAGUUCGUACAGGAUAGCGUCCAUGUGAGUUAACUACACUCCACACGCGUUAUCUGUCAACCAGUCAACUAGCAAGCACUGAAAAUGGGUAAGAAAAAUAAAAAAGAAAAGAAAGUGAAAGGAGCGGAAAAGACCGCUGCCAAAAUGGAAAAGAAGGUUUCCAAGAGAUCCAAGAAAGAUGAGGAAGAUCUGGAGGCACUGAUCGCAGAGUUCCAGUCCCUGGAUGCGAAGAAGACGCAAGUUGUAGAAACCGUUUGCCCACCACCUUCGCCCAGGUUGAACGCAUCACUAUCCGCCCACCCUGAAAAGGAUGAGCUGAUCCUGUUUGGGGGUGAAUUUUACAAUGGGAAGAAGACCUUCCUGUACAACGACCUCUUCUUUUAUAACAUCAAGAAGAAUACCUGGGUGAAGUCUGACAUCCCCAAUCCCCCUCCACGCCGCUGUGCUCACCAGGCGGUGGUUGUUCCUCAGGCUGGGGGGCAGCUGUGGGUCUUUGGGGGCGAGUUUGCUUCACCUGAUGGAGAGCAGUUCUACCACUAUAAGGACUUGUGGGUGCUUCACCUGAACACACACGUCUGGGAGCAAGUCAAGGUCCCUGGCGCCCCCUCUGGCCGCAGUGGGCACCGCAUGGUCCUGAGCAAGAGGCAGCUCCUGAUUUUUGGAGGCUUCCAUGAGAGCACGAGGGAUUAUAUUUACUACAAUGAUGUUCACACCUUCAACCUGGACACCUUCACUUGGAGUCGCCUGUCCCCCACGGGCACCCCCCCCUCACCCCGAUCCGCCUGCGCCCUAACCCCGUCUCCUGAUGGCAGCUGCGUCGUCGUCUAUGGUGGCUACUCCAAACUGAAAGCCAAGAAGGAUGUGGACAAAGGCAGCAUUCACUCUGACAUGUUUCUGCUGAAGAGAGAGGGCAUUGAGGACCAAGCAGAGAAGUGGGUGUGGUCUCGUGUGAGUCCAUCGGGUAUGAAACCCAACCCCCGCUCUGGGUUCUCACUGGCCUUGGCCCCAGGAAACCGCUUUUUGCUGUUUGGGGGAGUGUGCGAUGAGGAAGAGGAGGAGACGCUGGAAGGAGACUUCUACAAUGACCUGUACCAGUACGACCUUGGCAAGAACCGCUGGUUCUCUCUCCAGCUCAAGGGCUCCAAGUCAGAAAAGAAAAAGCGUCGCCGUGGGAAGAAGGAGCAGGGGGUGUCGGAGGGGCAUGGGAGCAAGGAGGGCAAAGAAGCAGAGGAGCUGGAGCAGCAUGGCCCCGUGGAAGUGGUCAAGGAGAUUGUGGCUGAUGAUGGGACAGUGAUGACAAUCAAGGAGGUCAUUCCUGGCACUCUGGUGGAGGAGGAAAGCGAGGAGGAAGAGGAGGAGGAAGAGGCCACAGUCGCACCCAUGGAGCCCUGCCCCCGGUCCAGUGGCAUGGCUGCUGUCAAGCAUGGGAAACUCUACCUGUACGGUGGCAUGUUUGAGGUGGGUGACCGGCAGUUCACCCUCGGCGACCUCUAUGCCCUCGACCUCCACAAGAUGGACCAGUGGGAAGUGCUGGUGGAGAUGGACCCCAGUGAGUGUUCCUUUCUCUGUUCAUUGGCGUGUGUUUGGUAUGUCAUUAUAUGAGUUUAAAGUUAGCUGUCAUGGAGGCCCAUCCGUUAGUUAGCCCAGUGUGAUGAGUGAAGUGCCUCAGGGUUCUGUGUUUGGGCCCUUACACAUUCUCACCUACAUAUUCGGCACUGAAUUUCACUAUGAGUAUUUACAUAUAUGUUGAAUUGAAUAGGUGGUACAGUUGGUUGUUAAAAGACCGGAAUGAAAUGGUGAAGAGGCCAAAAUUUAACAUAACUAGGAUGAAAUCAAUUCUCUGUGUGUUAUACAGGAUGUUCUAGACUCUAGAGAGACCGAUUUUCUUUUCUUUUUUUGUAAAGAUUUUUCCUUUUUUUUCUGGAGGUUCAGGUGUUUAUACCGAUCCUUCCGUACGUACACCCCCACACUAGAGUGAAGCAGAUAUAGCGGGAGUCGCUUAGAUCCGUAGAGCCCUGAAAAGGCCAGCUAAGGAGGUGGUACACUGCUGCUUUAGAGGGAGUCCAACAAUGGGGCAUCAGGAGUGAUGCAUUUUCCAAGGGUUACUCCACUAAAAGCAGCUGUGGGUGGAGAUAAAAGAGCUCUUUUAUCCUUCUGUGCCAUGUGGUGGGCUGGCAUCCUGUUUGGGGUCUGCCCCUAUUGUGCAAGACAUGUUCCUCACUUAACACAAGUGAAAUGGACACGGGGGAUAAUAGUGGGGGACCAGCUUCACUGUUAAAUAACCUGCUAAUGAGUGUUAAUAUGAGCUUCCUGGUACAGAAGACAGACAUCUUUGCAUUCAGGCUAAGCAAGUCCAGGUUGAUCACCUGCCGAACUUUGGUUUGAAGUAUCUGGAUGAGUAAGAUGGGCUGUGCCUUCCAGGCUUCUUCGGUUCCUAGACACAGGAGUGGCUGGAGGAGUCUGAGUCUGAGUCGGGAGAUGAGGAGGAGGAGGCUGGAGGUGGCGAAUUGGAGGACGAAGAGUCCGAUGAAGUGUCCGACGACAUUG